AACGAACGCUGGCGGCAUGCCUAACAUGCAAGUCGCACGAGACCUUCGGGUCUAGUGGCGCCCGGGUGCGUAACGCGUGGGAACCUGCCCUUAGGUUCGGAAUAACUCCCCGAAAGGGGUGCUAAUACCGGAUAAUGUCUUCGGACCAAAGAUUUAUCGCCUUUGGAUGGGCCCGCGUUGGAUUAGCUAGUUGGUAGGGUAAAAGCCUACCAAGGCGACGAUCCAUAGCUGGUCUGAGAGGAUGAUCAGCCACACUGGGACUGAGACACGGCCCAGACUCCUACGAGAGGCAGCAGUGGGGAAUAUUGGACAAUGGGCGAAAGCCUGAUCCAGCAAUGCCGCGUGAGUGAUGAAGGCCUUAGGGUUGUAAAGCUCUUUUACCCGGGAUGAUAAUGACAGUACCGGGAGAAUAAGCUCCGGCUAACUCCGUG
rnacentral:rRNA from 1 species